rnacentral:rRNA from 1 species
UAGGGAAUCUUCCGCAAUGGACGCAAGUCUGACGGAGCAACGCCGCGUGAGUGAAGAAGGAUUUCGGUUCGUAAAACUCUGUUGUUAGAGAAGAACAGCGCAUAGAGUAACUGUUAUGCGUGUGACGGUAUCUAACCAGAAAGCCACGGCUAACUACGUGCCAGCAGCCGCGGUAAUACGUAGGUGGCAAGCGUUGUCCGGAUUUAUUGGGCGUAAAGCGAGCGCAGGCGGUCAAUUAAGUCUGAUGUGAAAGCCCCCGGCUCAACCGGGGAGGGUCAUUGGAAACUGGUUGACUUGAGUGCAGAAGAGGAGAGUGGAAUUCCAUGUGUAGCGGUGAAAUGCGUAGAUAUAAGGAGGAACACCAGUGGCGAAGGCGACUCUCUGGUCUGUAACUGACGCUGAGGCUCGAAAGCGUGGGUAGCAAACAGG